GUGGUACAAAAGGUUACUGCACUUGGCUGCUAAUCAAAAGGUUGGUGGUUCAAGUCCACCC
rnacentral:tRNA from 1 species